GCCGGAGUGGUGGAAUUGGUAGACGCGAGGGACUCAAAAUCCCUUGACCGCAAGGUCGUGUCGGUUCGAGUCCGACCUCCGGCA
rnacentral:tRNA from 2 species